AGAGUUUGAUCCUGGCUCAGGACGAACGCUGGCGGCGUGCCUAACACAUGCAAGUCGAACGGAGUUGAAAGGAGCUUGCUUUUUUCAACUCAGUGGCGGACGGGUGAGUAACGCGUGAGUAACCUGCCUUUCAGAGGGGGAUAACGUUCUGAAAAGAACGCUAAUACCGCAUAAGAUUGUAGUUUCGCAUGGAGCAGCAAUCAAAGGAGCAAUCCGCUGAAAGAUGGACUCGCGUCCGAUUAGAUAGUUGGCGGGGUAACGGCCCACCAAGUCGACGAUCGGUAGCCGGACUGAGAGGUUGAUCGGCCACAUUGGGACUGAGACACGGCCCAGACUCCUACGGGAGGCAGCAGUGAGGGAUAUUGGGCAAUGGGGGAAACCCUGACCCAGCAACGCCGCGUGAGGGAUGACGGUUUUCGGAUUGUAAACCUCUGUCCUCUGUGAAGAUAGUGACGGUAGCAGAGGAGGAAGCUCCGGCUAACUACGUGCCAGCAGCCGCGGUAAUACGUAGGGAGCAAGCGUUGUCCGGAUUUACUGGGUGUAAAGGGUGCGUAGGCGGAUUGGCAAGUCAGAAGUGAAAUCCAUGGGCUUAACCCAUGAACUGCUUUUGAAACUGUUAGUCUUGAGUGAAGUAGAGGUAGGCGGAAUUCCCGGUGUAGCGGUGAAAUGCGUAGAGAUCGGGAGGAACACCAGUGGCGAAGGCGGCCUACUGGGCUUUAACUGACGCUGAGGCACGAAAGUGUGGGUAGCAAACAGGAUUAGAUACCCUGGUAGUCCACACUGUAAACGAUGAUUACUAGGUGUUGGAGGAUUGACCCCUUCAGUGCCGCAGUUAACACAAUAAGUAAUCCACCUGGGGAGUACGACCGCAAGGU
rnacentral:rRNA from 1 species